GAUAGUGUUGUACUUAUUGAUAUUGUGUUGUACAGAUUAAAUGAUUUUGUAAUAGUGACUGAGCAGUGCGUCGGGAUAGAGAUAGAUAGACUGACUGGUAGUGUGUUGGACUGAGUGAAUGAUAUAGUUUAGUGCUGACCGAUAGUGUUGUACUUAUUGAUAUUGUGUUGUACAGAUUAAAUGAUUUUGUAAUAGUGACUGAUAUUGUGUUGCAGAUUGACUGAUAUUGUAUUGUACUGACUGACUGAUUUUUUUUUUUUUUUUUUUUUUUAAAUACAUGCGGCUCAAGGGCAACAAAAAGAGUACAAAAAAAAAGCCCGCUACUUGCCGCUCCCACAAAAGUAAAAAGUAAAGAGUAGCGAAAAGAGAGAUCAAUUUCAGGUGGAGAGGUGUCUUGAUAUUGCAAUACUAAUAGUGACUCAUAUUGUGCAGUAUACUGACUCACUGAUAUUGUGUUACAUUGACUAAUAGUGCAUAGUAUUGACUGAUUGAUAGUUUAGGAUGACUGACUGACUGAUAUGUGAGGAGUUAAGUGCUGUAAAGGAGUGACUGAUGCAACACUUAACAGGUCUGAGCAAUGUGGUCUAAAUGGAUAAUCAAUAUAACACUUAACAGGUCUGAGCAAUGUGGUCUAAAUGGAUAAUCAAUAUAACACUUAACAGGUCUGAGCAAUGUGGUCUAAAUGGAUAAUCAAUAUAACACUUAACAGGUCUGAGCAAUGUGGUCUAAAUGGAUAAUCAAUAUAACACUUAACAGGUCUGUGCAAUGUGGUCUAAAUGGAUAAUCAAUAUAACACUUAACAGGUCUGAGCAAUGUGGUCUAAAUGGAUAAUCAAUAUAACACUUAACAGGUCUGAGCAAUGUGGUCUAAAUGGAUAAUCAAUAUAACACUUAACAGGUCUGAGCAAUGUGGUCUAAAUGGAUAAUCAAUAUAACACUUAACAGGUCUGAGCAAUGUGGUCUAAAUGGAUAAUCAAUAUAACACUUAACAGGUCUGAGCAAUGUGGUCUAAAUGGAUAAUCAAUAUAACACUUAACAGGUCUGUGCAAUGUGGUCUAAAUGGAUAAUCAAUAUAACACUUAACAGGUCUGAGCAAUGUGGUCUAAAUGGAUAAUCAAUAUAACACUUAACAGGUCUGAGCAAUGUGGUCUAAAUGGAUAAUCAAUAUAACACUUAACAGGUCUGAGCAAUGUGAACUAAAUGGAUAAUCAAUAUAACACUUAACAGGUCUGAGCAAUGUGGUCUAAAUGGAUAAUCAAUAUAACACUUAACAGGUCUGAGCAAUGUGAACUAAAUGGAUAAUCAAUAUAACACUUAACAGGUCUGAGCAAUGUGAACUAAUUGGAUAAUCAAUAUAACACUUCACAGAUACCAGGUGACAGGAGGUGAAGUGAUAACCCUGUGCUAGCCAAUGAGCACACACAAUAGAUACAGACACAGCACCCACCUGACCCUUCAGUAGCACCCCUCUGUCAGCCCUUUAUUCCCUGUGAGAGUGCGAGGCCUGUUACUCUUUGUCUCCCCAGCAUGUCAAACUGAGGCUACCAGUGUUGAAGGUAUGUGUGAUUGUGUGAUUUUUUUAGUUAGAUUUUUGUUUGUCUCCAUCUUUGUUCAGGUUGUUGCCCACAGGAGUUACAGGGGACACUUUGGGAAGUCUUUUGUGGUGCCAUGCUUGUUAUUUCAUAGUUUACGUUAUCAUUUUUUAAGCUGCAUAUUUAAGUUAGGUAAUUCUUUCUCGUUAAUGUAGCAUAUCAAAGGUGAAGCACACACACACACACACACACACUAUUGAUCAAAAUGGAAGAAGUAGAUAACGAGGAGUUACUAUUAAAAGAAGGAAUUACCACCAGGAACACAAGAGGACAUAGUAAAAAAUUGAGGAAGGGAAGAUGCUUGAGAGACAAAGAAAUAUAGAGGAUUGGAACAGACUAAGUGAGGAUGUAGUAUCGGCGAAGUGUGUGCAAAGCUUUAAGGAAAAGUUGGAUAAAUGCAGAUACGGAGACGGGACCACACGAGCGUAAAGCCUAGGCCCUGUAAAACUACAACUAGGUAAAUACACACACACACGUCACUUGUUAACCCAUUAGGUAUUCUUUUUAUCCCCUCUUGUUUUUAUUCUUACUUUACCAUUUGUCUUAUUUUUUACAUCCAUGUCUGCUCAUAGACUGGACUGUUUGGGCCUAUAUCAAUUUUUCUUAUCCCUUAAAACCCUUUCAUGAAUCUCAAUAAAGAUAAAGAUAAUAAUAAUCCAUGCACACAAAACCUGGUUCUUUGGUGAGAAUACUUUAUUGAUGACAAAAAAUACACUUGGAAGAUCAUCCAGCCAGUAAAGAACACACGGCCAGUCUUAGGUAAUGAGGAGUCAGCUCAGAGGACGCAGCACACCGCCACUCCUGCUCGCAAGGGAACAAAACACAUCACGUCCCUACCAUAGAGUUGCCUGUCUUGUGCUGUUGUUGUUGAGAGGUCGCCACAAGUUUGAUUCUUUAACAUGACGAUAAAACCUCAACGAAAUAAAGGAGGGCAACAAAUACAUCAUAUCUCUAUUGUUGAGUUUCCUGUCUUGUGCUGUUGUUAAAAAGGUCGCCACAAGUUUGAUUCUUUAACAUGACGAUAAAACCUCAACGAAAUAAAGGAGUGCAACAAAUACAUCACAUCUCUAUUGUUGAGUUUCCUGUCAUCGUGUUGUUGUUGUUGAGAGGUCGCCACAAAAGUUUGAUUCAUUAACAGUAAAAUACAACCUCAACAAACUAAAAAGGAGUGCAACAAAUACAUCACACCUCUAUUGUUGAGUUUCCUGUCAUCGUGUUGUUGUUGAUAAGAGGUCGCCACAAAAGUUUGAUCCGUUAACAGUAAAAUACAACCUCAGCAAACUAAAAAGGCGUGCAACAAAUACAUCACAUUCCUGUCAUUGAGUUUAGUAUCUCUUGUGUUGUUGUUAAGAAGUCAUAGCCACAAUUGUUUGAUUUACCGACAGUACAAUAAAACCUCAACGAACUAGAUGUAACAAUAGAUCACAUCCCUACCAUUGUUUUCCGUCAGUGUUGUUGUUGUUAUCGAAAAAUCAUAGCCACAAGUGUUGGAAUUUUUAACAGUACAGCAAAACCUCAAUGAACUAGAUGUAACAA